UAUACAUAUCCAAAGGACUACUUAAGGUCAUUGAAAUUUCCUUAAAACACCCCUAAAGCAUGAUGUACAAGUCUUUUAAGCAUCAAAAAUCUUCACUUUCCACUUAUACCCUUUCCCCUAAACUAAACACUAAACUAAACACGCUGUCACAUAAACACAAACUAGGGUUUCAGAUUUCAAAACAUUUCAAAAUGUCGCUUCCCUGCUCCUCUCUCUCUCUCUCUCUCGAUCCAGGAACGAUUUCACCAGAUCUGCUCCUCUCUUUCUGGCGAUUCAGGAACGAUUUCACCAAAUCUAUGAAGUUUCAACAGAUCGAUGAAGAUUCUGACCUCUUGGUUCUGUUUUCCGGCUUUUAUUUGCAUUUUGCAACAUUCGUCAAGGGUAACUAACACCGUCCUUUUAAUUCUGAACACUAUUUCUUCAUGUAUUCACUGGAUUUUACUUACGUUUGUGUUUUAAGAUGGAUUUUCUUGUAGGUCAUGGUUUGAAGACUAGAUCUGGUAAAGAAUAAUAAGAAUACUCGGAAGGAAACAACAAAAUCAUGGAGAAGAAUCAGAUCUCGGUGGUUGGAGUUCCAGAUGCGAUUCCCGUCAAGUAUAUAGAGAAUGUCCAACUCUAAAGAAAGUUCCACAUGUUUUGGUGGUUCAUGGUGAAAGCGAUGGUAGGCAGGAGCAUAUGAAGAGAAACAGACCUUCAAAUUGGGUUUUCCACAAACCUCCAUUACCCAUUGCAUGGGGGACACACCAUUCCAAAGCGAUGUUUUUUGGUGUAUCCUCAGGGAAUUCGAAUUAUCGUCCAUACAGCAAACUUAAUCUAUGUCGAUUGGAAUAACAAAAGCCAGGGUUUGUGGAUGCAAGAUUUCCCGUGGAAACACGGCGGUUCAGAUAAAGGAAGUGGAUUUGAAUCUGAUCUUAUUGAUUAUCUUAGUGCACUAAAGGUACUAUACUACUGCAUCUCGACUAUUGUAGAUUAUUUUAUUUUAAAUUA